GGAAAGGUAAAGGAGAAGGAUUGGAGUUUUUUGGGACAAAAUGGCAGUCGGUGGUGGCAAGUCAUAGUCGGCGUAGCCGCUUCAAUUUCCAGCAACACGGCUACUUUGGGUCGGGUUUUUGGAUCCAAAAUUCUAGCUAUCUACUCGGUUUCAAGGGUGGAUCUUGGAUGCGUUUUGUAGAGAGGAAAAGGGGAACAAGUUUCGUGAAGGUUGUCCUGCCAAUCGUGGUUGGACGAUGACGAAAAAAUGACUGGAAGUGGUGUUGCUACUGUUCACGCCAAAGAGAGGGGUCUGUCGCGAGAGAGAAGAGGGAGAAAAGUGCUGAAAUCUG
rnacentral:lncRNA from 1 species